rnacentral:lncRNA from 1 species
UGCAGUCCGACAGCUGGAGGUGGAGCAUUCGGCUAAGAUCGUUAUAGAAACGCUGCCAGAGUCCAACGAGCAACUGCCCAAUAUCCAGGAGGAGGAAAACGAGGACGACCCAGAGAGCCUGAUGGACGUCCGUCUGGCUGAAGACGACGUCACUCCUUCAUCAACAGACGUGGAGCCAGCAUCGGAGAGGAGAGACCCGGAGAGUCCGAUCCCCCAAACAAUCACCCA